CGAAAUUAUGUGCCAAUACGUUAACUACGGAUCCGUCGGAGCCCGCGUUUCAGUCAAUUUUGAUGCAAAAAUAUUACGACGUACACAAAGGGUUAUGCGAAACUCCGACGGUAAUGGUUAUUCUAAAAUAAUUUUUUAAAAUCCACAACAAAUGAGAAUACUUUGGGUUUAUUUAUGUCGAUUUCCAAGAAAAAAAAGAAAAAACGAUAUUUUUACAUCUCAUCAAUUUACCGAGCUUUGCUCGUAGUUAUUGGUUAUCGAAUGCGAAGAUCUAUUAUUGAUUUCGUGCAUAACCUAAAUUACGGUUUAUACCUCCUAAAAUGCUGGCUUAUAAUUGUAUAUAGCCAACCAACGGUGCGAAGUAUACGGCUGGCUUAUUUAAUUCGGGUUUUCACCGGCAAGAAAGUACACCCUUUUUAAAAGAGAUUGACGAAUUUAUAUUUUCUAGGCGAGAGACUGCACGCCGCCUUUGAACCAUCAUAUAUUAAGCCAAUAAUUUCGUGAACAAUUACGAAUACGAAUAUAAAAAAUAAAUUGCUAAUGUUUUUUAUUUUAUUUGAUAUUAUUUACGUGUUUUGUCGUUUUAAAGGUUCGUCGGUGAAUUAUACAAUCUGGGUGCGUAACCUGAGGCGAUUAUAUGGUCGUUUGUUAAUGAACUUACGAGAGGAUAUGACGGCAAUUUACAAAUCGAAUAUCUAUGCACCCUUUUAAAGUCGGUUGCACCGAAAUUAUCCCAAGUAAAUUACUCUACACAAACAUUAUGAUGAUUAUAAAUACUGCGGAUACGAAAUAAUUAUAUAUAAUGUCUAUAGACGUACAAAAUGAUACGAGUAGUUGGUCAUUAUUGCUGUUACUGAAAAACAAUACUUCCAGAGCGGAUACGAUGCCGUCAAAAUUUAAAAAAUUAAUACACGAAACAAAG